rnacentral:rRNA from 1 species
UACGUAGGGUGCAAGCGUUGUCCGGAAUUAUUGGGCGUAAAGAGCUCGUAGGCGGUUUGUCGCGUCUGCUGUGAAAACGCGAGGCUCAACCUCGCGCCUGCAGUGGGUACGGGCAGACUAGAGUGCGGUAGGGGAGAUUGGAAUUCCUGGUGUAGCGGUGGAAUGCGCGGAUAUCAGGAGGAACACCGAUGGCGAAGGCAGAUCUCUGGGCCGUAACUGACGCUGAGGAGCGAAAGCAUGGGGAGCGAACAGG